AUGAGUACUACCGUCUGGCUCUCCUCCACUGCCACCACUUGCUCCACCACUCGCUCCACCACCUACCCCUCCAACUACUGGUCCCUGGGCUCCAUCCCACCACCCAGCCUGCGGCCCACCAGCAGCGCGGCCAGCGUCUAUGCAGGCGCCAGCGGCUCGGGCUCCCAGAUCUCUGUGUCCUGCUCCACCAGUUUUCAGGGCGGCUGGGGGUCCGGGGGCCUGGCUACAGGGAUGGCCGGGAGUCUGGGGGGCAUCCAGAGCGAGAAGGAGACCAUGCAAGAGCUGAACGACCGCCUGGCCUCCUCCCUGGAGAGGGUGAGGAGCCUGGAGACCGAGAACUGGAGGCUGGAGAGCAAACUCCGGGAACACCUGGAGAAGAAGGGACCCCAGGUCAGAGACUAGGGACCUUACUUCAAGACCAUCGAGGACCUGAAGGCUCAGAUCUUUGCAACUUCUGUGGACAAUGCCCGCAUCGUUCUGCAGACAGACAACGCCUGUCUUGCUGAUGAUGACUUUAGAGUCAAGUAUGAGACAGAGCUGGCCAUGCGCCAGUCCGUGGAGAGUGACAUCCAGGAGCUCCGCAAGGUCAUCGAUGACACCAAUGUCACCCGGCUGCAGCUGGAGACAGAGAUCGAGGCCCUCAAGGAAGAGCUGCUCUUCAUGAAGAAGAACCAUGAGGAGGAAGUAAAAGGCCUACAAGCCCAGAUUGCCAGCUCUGGGUUGACCGUGGAGGUAGAUGCCCCCAAAU